CACGCCGUAAACGGUGGGCGCUAGGUGUGGGGAUCUUCCACGGUCUCCGUGCCGUAGCUAACGCAUUAAGCGCCCCGCCUGGGGAGUACGGCCGCAAGGCUAAAACUCAAAGGAAUUGACGGGGGCCCGCACAAGCGGCGGAGCAUGCGGCUUAAUUCGAUGCAACGCGAAGAACCUUACCUAGGCUUGACAUGUGGAGUAAUCCGGCGGAAACGUCGGGUCCUUUAGUGGGCUUCACACAGGUGG
rnacentral:rRNA from 2 species